UACGUAGGGCGCAAGCGUUAUCCGGAAUUAUUGGGCGUAAAGAGCUCGUAGGCGGUUUGUCGCGUCUGCUGUGAAAACUCGAGGCUCAACCUCGAGACGUCGGCGGAAACCAUCUGGCUAGAGUCCGGAAGAGGAGAGUGGAAUUCCUGGUGUAGCGGUGAAAUGCGCAGAUAUCAGGAGGAACACCGGUGGCGAAGGCGGUUCUCUGGGCAUGUCCUGACGCUGAGGAGCGAAAGUGUGGGGAGCGAACAGG
rnacentral:rRNA from 1 species